rnacentral:rRNA from 1 species
UACGUAGGGUGCGAGCGUUGUCCGGAAUUAUUGGGCGUAAAGAGCUCGUAGGCGGUCUGUCGCGUCGGCUGUGAAAACCCGGAGCUCAACUCCGGGCCUGCAGUCGAUACGGGCAGACUAGAGUUCGGCAGGGGAGACUGGAAUUCCUGGUGUAGCGGUGAAAUGCGCAGAUAUCAGGAGGAACACCGGUGGCGAAGGCGGGUCUCUGGGCCGAUACUGACGCUGAGGAGCGAAAGCGUGGGGAGCGAACAGG